rnacentral:rRNA from 1 species
UCCUCCCUCUUUCUUCGUGCUUAACACAUGCAAGUCGAACGGUGAUGCUCCAGCUUGCUGGAGUGGAUCAGUGGCGAACGGGUGAGUAACACGUGAGCAACCUGCCCCAGACUCUGGAAUAAGCGCUGGAAACGGCGUCUAAUACUGGAUACGAAACUGGCCCGCAUGGGCAUGGUUUGGUAAGUUUUUCGGUUUGGGAUGGUCUCGCGGCCUAUCAGCUUGUUGGUGAGGUAAUGGCUCACCAAGGAGACGACGGGUAGCCGGCAUGAGAAGGAGACCGGCCACAAUGGGACUGAGACACGGCCCAGACUCCUACGGGAGGCAGCAGUGGGGAAUAUUGCACAAUGGGCGCAAGCCUGAUGCAGCGACGCCGCGUGAGGGAUGACGGCCUUCGGGUUGUAAAACUCUUUCAGCAGGGAAGAAGCGAAAGUGACGGUACCUGCAGAAGAAGCACCGGCUAACUACGUG